AGAAAGGGAAAGACUUGGCAAAAUGGGAUGGAAGCCAUUAGGGUUGCUUGGAAAACGAAUGGCUUCCAGCGGCUAUAAAUAGGGCAUCUUCUACCCAACAAACAUUAACCACAUCUAGAGAGCAAGUUUCCUCUCUUACUCCCAAAACCCAGCAAUUUCGUGCUCAGCCCAUCCUUUUCCCUUAGUUUUCCCCCUUGGCAAGCUGUUCUAACACUCGACAGAGUCUCUGUCAAGCUGCCGGAAAAACACUCAGGCCACCAUUUUCUCUCUUUUUCCUCCUCUCAACCAAAACCUCUGAU
rnacentral:lncRNA from 1 species